AAUGAACGCUGGCGGCAGGCCUAACACAUGCAAGUCGAACGGAUCCUUCGGGAUUAGUGGCGGACGGGUGAGUAACGCGUGGGAACAUACCCUUUGGUACGGAAUAGCCUCGGGAAACUGGGAGUAAUACCGUAUGUGGUCGAGAGACGAAAGAUUUUUCGCCAAAGGAUUGGCCCGCGUUGGAUUAGGUAGUUGGUGGGGUAAUGGCCUACCGAGCCGACGAUCCAUAGCUGGGUUGAGAGGAUGAUCAGCCACACUGGGACUGAGACACGGCCCAGACUCCUACGGGAGGCAGCAGUGGGGAAUCUUAGAAAAUGGGGGAAACCCUGAUCUAGCCAUGCCGCGUGAUCGAUGAAGGCCUUAGGGUUGUAAAGAUCUUUCAGGUGGGAAGAUAAUGACUGUACCACCAGAAGAAGCCCCGGCUAACUCCGUGCCAGCCGCCGCGGUAA
rnacentral:rRNA from 1 species